rnacentral:rRNA from 1 species
UACGGAGGGAGCUAGCGUUGUUCGGAAUCACUGGGCGUAAAGCGCACGUAGGCGGAUUGUUAAGUCAGGGGUGAAAUCCUGGAGCUCAACUCCAGAACUGCCUUUGAUACUGGCGAUCUCGAGUCCGGGAGAGGUGAGUGGAACUGCGAGUGUAGAGGUGAAAUUCGUAGAUAUUCGCAAGAACACCAGUGGCGAAGGCGGCUCACUGGCCCGUUACCGACGCUCAGGCGCGACAGCGUGGGGAGCAAACAGG